rnacentral:rRNA from 1 species
GACGGAGGGCGCAAGCGUUGUUCGGAAUUACUGGGCGUAAAGCGCGCGCAGGCGGGAAGAUAAGAUCCUGGAGUGAAAUUCCGGGGCUCAACUCCGGAGCUGCUUUGGAUACUGUUUUUCUAGGGACCGGGUAGAGGCCGGUGGAAUUCCCGGUGUAGCGGUGGAAUGCGUAGAGAUCGGGGAAGAACACCCGUGGCGAAGGCGGAUCUCUGGGCCAUUACGUGACGCUGAGGAGCGAAAGCGUGGGGAGCGAACGAGG